rnacentral:rRNA from 1 species
GACGAACGCUGGCGGCGUGCUUAACACAUGCAAGUCGAACGGAAAGGCCCUGCUUCUGUGGGGUGCUCGAGUGGCGAACGGGUGAGUAACACGUGAGUAACCUGCCCUUGACUUUGGGAUAACUUCAGGAAACUGGGGCUAAUACCGGAUAGGAGCUCCUGCUGCAUGGUGGGGGUUGGAAAGUUUCGGCGGUUGGGGAUGGACUCGCGGCUUAUCAGCUUGUUGGUGGGGUAGUGGCUUACCAAGGCUUUGACGGGUAGCCGGCCUGAGAGGGUGACCGGCCACAUUGGGACUGAGAUACGGCCCAGACUCCUACGGGAGGCAGCAGUGGGGAAUAUUGCACAAUGGGCGGAAGCCUGAUGCAGCAACGCCGCGUGCGGGAUGACGGCCUUCGGGUUGUAAACCGCUUUCGCCUGUGACGAAGCAUGAGUGACGGUAAUGGGUAAAGAAGCACCGGCUAACUACGUG